UCUCGCGAAAUCUCACUCGGGACGAGACUGCUUUGUUUUCCUGUCAGAGUUUCAGAAAUCGUGAAAUUUUAGUCAAUAUCACCACGAAAAGAGAAAACACGUGAACAACAAGCAUAAUAGCCCAUGGCGUCGGCUCCUUCGGUUUCCCCGGGACCCUCAGGAGCAGGAACCCCAGACAGCACCAAAAGAAAAAGGAAGGGACCAUCAG